UACAGAGGGGGCAAGCGUUGUUCGGAAUUACUGGGCGUAAAGGGCGCGUAGGCGGCCUUCUAAGUCAGACGUGAAAUCCCCGGGCUCAACCCGGGAACUGCGUCUGAUACUGGGGGGCUUGAAUCCGGGAGAGGGAUGCGGAAUUCCAGGUGUAGCGGUGAAAUGCGUAGAUAUCUGGAGGAACACCGGUGGCGAAGGCGGCAUCCUGGACCGGCAUUGACGCUGAGGCGCGAAAGCCAGGGGAGCAAACGGG
rnacentral:rRNA from 1 species